GGGUUGGAGCUAGGGUUACGGUUAGGGUUAGGGUUGGAGCUAGGGUUAGGGUUAGGGUUAGGGUUGGAGCUAGGGUUAGGGUUAGGGUUAGGGUUGGAGCUAGGGUUAUAGUUAGGGUUAGGGUUGGAGCCAGGCUUAGGGUUAGGGUUAGGGUUGGAGCUAGGGUUAGGGUUAGGGUUAGGGUUGGAGCUAGGGUUAGGGUUAGGGUUGGAGCUAGGGUUAGAGUUAGGGUUAGGGUUGGAGCUAGGGUUAGGGUUAGGGUUAGGGUUGGAGCUAGGGUUAGGGUUAGGGUUAGGGUUGGAGCUAGGGUUAGGGUUAG